UUCUCAGGUUCAGAGAGCAGUGAGGACAUUGAGUGUGUCAUUAAACCAGUCACUGCAAAUAAGGUCAGCAGGAUAAGAGUCAAAUUCUUCCAAAUAUUCAACCACAUAGGCAAGACAAAAGCUUGGAGUCACAAUUCACUUUCAUUAUAUGACGAAAAGCUGUGUGAAGAUUUUUCUUACCUGUCCUUUGUGUUCCCUGAAAGAAAGUCAUACAAGUUUGGAACGAACAACAUUAGGGCAACAUCAAAAAUACAUUCAACGUUGAAGUGAUGCUCAUCAAGAAAGCCAUCUCCCAUGUGAAUGAAUGCAAGCUGUUCAAAAGACACCAGAAUGAAUGUGUCAGAAUUGAGCUUUUUAAAAUUUGUUCAACAUUGUAUUUACUGUUAUGCAAUAUAGUGCAUUUCUUUAUGCAUGCUCUUUAUAGUUCUCUUUUUGUUAAAAGCCUGUAAUGAAUAAAGUAGUAAAACUUAUAGUAAGUAAUAAAAGUUAAAAAGUAAUGAAAAUUGAAAGGAUAAAGUUAUGACAAUAAAGAAACAAUUAGAACAAUACACAUUUUUUGAUUUGUCAUUUACACUUCAAGAAUCCAUUAUCAGUCCCUUAGUAAUCUGCCUCCAUUUUUAAGUUUGUCUUAAGUUUGUAUUCAUUGACUUCACUUACUCCAACUGCAAGACACUGCAGGUUUUGUGAUCUCAAAAUGGCAGCCACCACGAGUGGGUUAUCUGUUCAAUGUACA